rnacentral:sRNA from 1 species
AGGGAGGAGGUGAUCUUCCUCACCAGGAUCGGGGUGCACAUCCAGGAACACACCUUACCCUGGAGCCUGAGGCCUGGCCUCCCUCUGCAGCAACGAGUGAGACAAAGAUGGGCAAGGCUGUGACAACCCCGGCCAGUUUGCAUCAUUGGCAUGUAUUACCUACACAAAUUGUUAAACCAGAUUUUAAAGAUGAUGGUCUGGCACUCAUGAAGAUCUUCAAGUGCUUUGACCUCUUCCUGCCCUACUAAGGUUGAAGAUCUCUCCUUUGAGGGCCAAGGAGCCAUUCAUUGUCACCAUAAUUCUUGGAAAGAGCUGAAAAAAGAACCCAGGAAUACAACUCCCCAGGAGCCUCCACAGUCCCUUCCCCAUGCAGAGUAUGUAACUUCGGCCAAGAAGUCGUGAUGUGAGUAGGUCACACAGUGUUGAGGGCCAAACCCCUCGACUCUGUUGGGAGUUAAAGGGAAGGAAGUGGACAUUUCCUUUGAACCUAAUAAUAAGCAGAUUGACGAGAUGCCUGAGGCUGCCGUGAAAUCAACAGCCAACAAAUACCAAGUCUUUUUUUUCGGGACCCACGAGACGGCAUUCCUGGGCCCCAAAGACCUCUUCCCUUACGAGGAAUCCAAGGAGAAGUUUGGCAAGCCCAACAAGAGGAAAGGGUUCAGCGAGGGGCUGUGGGAGAUCGAGAACAACCCUACUGUCAAGGCUUCUGGCUAUCAGUCCUCCCAGAAAAAGAGCUGUGUGGAAGAGCCUGAACCUGAGCCCGAAGCCACAGAGGGUGACGGUGAUAAGAAGGGGAAUGCAGAGGGCAGCAGCGAUGAGGAAGGGAAGCUGGUCAUUGAUGAGCCAGCCAAGGAGAAGAAUGAGAAAGGAGCGCUGAAGAGGAGGGCAGGGGACUUGCUGGAGGACUCUCCUAAACGUCCCAAGGAGGCAGAAAACCCUGAAGGAGAGGAGAAGGAGGCAGCCACCUUGGAGGGUGAGAGGCCCCUUCCUAUGGAGGUGGAAAAGAAUAGCACCCCCUCUGAGCCCGGCUCUGGCCGGGGGCCUCCCCAAGAGGAAGAAGAAGAGGAGGAUGAAGAGGAAGAGGCUACCAAGGAAGAUGCUGAGGCCCCAGGCAUCAGAGAUCAUGAGAGCCUGUAGCCACCAAUGUUUCAAGAGGAGCCCCCACCCUGUUCCUGCUGCUGUCUGGGUGCUACUGGGGAAACUGGCCAUGGCCUGCAAACUGGGAACCCCUUGCCCACCCCAACCUGCUCUCCUCUUCCACUCACUUUUCCCACUCCAAGCCCAGCCCAUGGAGAUUGACCUGGAUGGGGCAGGCCACCUGGCUCUCACCUCUAGAUCCCCAUACUCCUAUGAUCUGAGUCAGAGCCAUGUCUUCUCCCUGGAAUGAGAUGAGGCCAUUGUGUUCCUUCCACUUGGAGCUAUUUUCCAGGCUUCUGCUGGGGCCUGGGACAACUGCUCCCACCUCCUGACACCCUUCACCCACUCUCCUAGGCAUUCUGGACCUCUGGGUUGGGAUCAGGGGUAGGAAUGGAAAGGAUGGAGCAUAAACAGCAGGGUGGGCUUGUGGGGCCUGGGAGGGGCAAUCCUCAAAUGGGGUUGGGGGCAGCACAGGAGGGCGGCCUCCUCCUGAGCUCCUGUCCCCUGUUACACCUAUUAUCCCAGCUGCCUAGAUUCAGGGAAAGUGGGACAGCUUGUAGGGAAGGGGUUUCUUUCCAUAAAUCCUUGAUGAUUGACAACACCCAUUUUUCCUUUUGCCGACCCCAAGAGUUUUGGGAGUUUGUAGUUAAUCAUCAAGAGAAUGUGGGGCUUCCAAGUUGUUCGGGCCAAGGACCUGAGACCUGAAGGGUUGACUUUACCCAUUUGGGUGGGAGUGUUGAGCAUCUGUCCCCCUUUAGAUCUCUGAAGCCAGAAAUAGGAUGCUUGGGAAGACCCCUAGCUGUCCUUUUUCCUCUCCGCACAGUGCUCAAGGCCAGCUUAUAGUCAUAUAUAUCACCCAGACAUAAAGGAAAAGACACAUUUUUUAGGAAAUGUUUUUAAUAAAAGAAAAUUACAAAAAAAAAAA